UUCCACGUUUUUUGAGCCCUCAAUUUAUUUUCUCCGUAGGGAAAACAUGUAAGGCUCCCUGCUGUUUCUUAGGACACACACAGCCAAGUAUGUUUAUGCUCCCAUGGCGACUGGGUUCUUUUUUUUAAUAAGAAAUGGGAAUCGCUGCGCUGCUCCCCUACGGCUCGAACACACGGAACUAGAUAAAUGACAUAAUCGGACCUGUUGCCAUCACUGAGCACACUGUGUAGACGGGGUUAUUUAAAUACCGAAACGUGAACAGAAGACCAGCAAGCACUUCCAGGCAGUUUUUGGUGGCUGGUGCUCUGACGACACAAUUGCAGAGUCGCGCUGGCUUUGAGCACAGCUGUGCCCGUCCCCCCGAGGACCUCAGCCGUGUCUGCCCGGGCCCAGGGUCCUGCUUGGCCGGCCCGUCCGCACCCCCACCGGUUUCCCUCGCCAGGCGGUUGGCACCUCGUAGGCACCGCCCCAGCCCAGGCUGGCAGCUUUUUUCCCUGCAUGACAGGGACGGUUCUGGAAGUCCUAGAAGGUCGGGGCUGGAGGCACCUGGGGCAGCGGCUUCCCCUGAAGCAGCAGAGGAGAACCCUCAGUUGGCGACGGCGGCUCAUUCACCAUCGGCCCCGGACUCGUCAUCCCGGAUGCCCGCUUCACAGUCUCUUCAACGAUCACGGGCAGCCGCGAAAGCCUGUUGCCUGAACUUCACCAAAAUCCUACCGCAGUCACCCGGUUUGUGCGAGUCCCAGGCAGCGGCACCGCCGAGGAGCUCGCCAGCCAAGUGCAAGGUAAACCCGGGAGCGCUCGGAGUCCCGUCAGAGCCAACCACGGCCCAGGGCUGCACGGGGAGCAGGUGACCCAGGAAAAGAAAGGGAUGUCCUCCGGGGCUCGCCGUUGGCAGAGGGGUGAAGUGGGGGUUCACGAAUACCCUGGAGAGGAAGCCCCGGCUGUCCCCUCCAUGGGAAAGGCAGAGUCCCCUUGAAUGGGGUCUUCCUUCCUCCCCUCUCCCUCCACUCCCGCUCCCUUCCCUCACUUUACAGCCUCAAGUUCCUUAAAGGAUCUGAAUUACUGUGUUGUUUUUAUGUUUUUUUAAUGUUUAUUUUUGAGAUGGCGGGGAGGAAGGGCGGGAGAAUUCGCUGGGGUGCGGAGCAG
rnacentral:lncRNA from 1 species